GACACCUUGGAGCUGUGUGUGU
rnacentral:miRNA from 1 species